GUCCACGCCGUAAACGAUGAUAACUAGCUGUCAGGGCCCAUAGGGUUUUGGUGGCGCAGCUAACGCAUUAAGUUAUCCGCCUGGGGAGUACGGCCGCAAGGUUAAAACUCAAAGAAAUUGACGGGGGCCUGCACAAGCGGUGGAGCAUGUGGUUUAAUUCGAAGCAACGCGCAGAACCUUACCAGCGUUUGACAUGCCCGGUAUGGAUUCCAGAGAUGGAUUCCUUCAGUUCGGCUGGCCGGUGCACAGGUGCUGCAUGGCUGUCGU
rnacentral:rRNA from 1 species